GACAGACCAUUUCCCAUAUGAUCACCGAAGUUAAGCAACAUCAAGCAUGGCUAGUAGCUAGAUAGGUGACUGCUUGGGAAUGCCAGGUGGUGUA